AUUGAACGCUGGCGGCAUGCCUUACACAUGCAAGUCGAACGGUAACAAGUCUUCGGAUGCUGACGAGUGGCGAACGGGUGAGUAAUACAUCGGAACGUGCCUAGCAGUGGGGGAUAACUACUCGAAAGAGUGGCUAAUACCGCAUGAGACCUACGGAUGAAAGCAGGGGAUCGCAAGACCUUGUGCUACUAGAGCGGCCGAUGGCAGAUUAGGUAGUUGGUGGGAUAAAAGCUUACCAAGCCGACGAUCUGUAGCUGGUCUGAGAGGACGAUCAGCCACACUGGGACUGAGACACGGCCCAGACUCCUACGGGAGGCAGCAGUGGGGAAUUUUGGACAAUGGGCGCAAGCCUGAUCCAGCAAUGCCGCGUGCAGGAUGAAGGCCUUCGGGUUGUAAACUGCUUUUGUACGGAACGAAAAGCCCCGGGUUAAUACCCUGGGGUCAUGACGGUACCGUAAGAAUAAGCACCGGCUAACUACGUGCCAGCCGCCGCAGUAA
rnacentral:rRNA from 1 species